UCCUGAAUACCUGUUUCAAGGAUAAAGUCAAUGGCCACAAGCCAAAACCUUUAGGCGAAAAACUAUAUUGUCGGAUGAAAAUAAAAAAGGAUACAAAUGUCAUGUUGAGUGAAUCACACAUUUUGAAGUCGAAAAGUCUUGUGACCGAGCGUUAAUGCCAGAACCUUAUUACGAAACUAUUAUACAUGAUUAUGGUAUUGUAAGAUAUUUUACAUUUUGGGAGAGGACUAGUUGACGAUGGUGUCUGACCCCAAGUAUUUAUAGAUAAUAUGUACUAAAUU